GAUGAACGCUGUCUACAGGCUUAACACAUGCAAGUCGAGGGGAAACGCCGGGGAAGCUUGCUUCCCCGGGCGUCGACCGGCGCACGGGUGAGUAACGCGUAUCCAACCUGCCUCUGACUGAGGGAUAACCCGUCGAAAGUCGGCCUAAUACCUCAUGGCAUCGUCUGCGGGCAUCCAACGACGAUUAAAGAUUUCAUCGGUCAGGGAUGGGGAUGCGUCUGAUUAGCUUGUUGGCGGGGUAACGGCCCACCAAGGCUACGAUCAGUAGGGGUUCUGAGAGGAAGGUCCCCCACAUUGGAACUGAGACACGGUCCAAACUCCUACGGGAGGCAGCAGUGAGGAAUAUUGGUCAAUGGGCGGGAGCCCGAACCAGCCAAGUAGCGUGCAGGAUGACGGCCCUAUGGGUUGUAAACUGCUUUUAUGCGGGGAUAAAGUGAGGGACGUGUCCUUCAUUGCAGGUACCGCAUGAAUAAGGACCGGCUAAUUCCGUG
rnacentral:rRNA from 1 species